AGUGAACGCUGGCGGCGUGCCUAAUACAUGCAAGUAGAAGGAAGUGGCGCACGGGUGAGUAAUAUAUAGCUAAUCUGCCCCUUGCUGGAGGACAACAGUUAGAAAUGACUGCUAAUACUCCAUAGCAAGGGAUGAGACUAUAUCGUAUCAGCUAGUCGGUGGGGUAACGGCCUACCGAAGCUAUGACGCGUAACUGGUCUGAGAGGAUGAUCAGUCACAUUGGAACGUAGACACGGUCCAAACUCCUACGGGAGGCAGCAGUAGGGAAUAUUGCGCAAUGGGGGAAACCCUGACGUAGCAACGCCGCGUGGAGGAUGACACUUUUCGGAGCGUAAACUCCUUUUGUUAGGGAAGCGGUACCGGAAUAGAAAGCCACGGCUAACUACGUGCCAGCCGCCGCGGUAAUAC
rnacentral:rRNA from 1 species